GUCUCGCAGCAGCCCUUGCCGGUGUGGGGGUCCCGGGCUUUCACGGCUGGGUACCUCGGCGCGCACGUCUCCCCCAGCAGCGUCCUCAGCACUUGCCCCACCUGAGGCGGCCGGAGCUCCUCAGCGUCCCCUUUGGGCCCCGGGGCUUUGGUGGCCGCCCCGUGGGCCGCCUGGUCCAGAAGCGCGCGGAUGAGCGAGUGCGCGGGCGCUGCACCGUAGAGCUGGGUCAGGCGCGCGGGCGUCAGGAAGUGGCCCAGGCUGAGGCCGUGGGAGAUGAGCAGGCGCACGAACUCGGGUCGGUCGUUCAGCAGAGCGUCCAUGAGCGACGCCUCCAAGUGGAAGGACUGCGGGGAGGAGUGGGGCACGGGAUGAGCAGGGACAGAGGCCAGGGAGGCGCCGAGGUGGAGGCAGAGGACGAGGGCUGAGCAUACAUGCUCACUGCUCCACACAGCGCCUGGUGCACCCCAGAAGCCUAAGGAGUGAACCCCAUCCAUCCUCUGCUACCUGAAAGGCCAUGUGGCCAGCGCCUGAGUCCCCAGAGACUCACAGCCCCACCCCUGAACCACAGCUUACAGAGCUGCUGCGCUUUCUCCUGGGAGCCUGCUGGGUUAACUUCUGAAAAGCAAACCGGAUUUGCCCACUGGCUGUCACCCUCCGUUUGAAGAUGUGUCCCCAAGGAGACAGAAUCACACAAGAGCCCCCCUUCAUGGGGUCCCCACUGAGGACCAGGCACUGCCACUGGGGCCCACGAUGCUCCUGCUAGUGGGCUACUUACAAACUCAGCUCUUGCAAUGACGUGAAUGAAACUCAUGGAAUCCACACUAAAUAUAACAAGCCAGGCCCAA
rnacentral:lncRNA from 1 species